rnacentral:tRNA from 1 species
GGUCUCAUGGUGUAAUCUGGGAGCACUCUGGACUUUGAAUCCAGCGAUAGGGGUUCAAAUCCCUUUGAGACUA